rnacentral:rRNA from 1 species
AUGUCCCUUCUCGGCACCAACUUCUCCGGGACGGUGAUAUGCUCAUAUCGCAGUUGCCGACGUCUUUUGGUCUACAUUGGUGACCUCCCGAGUUUCAAUAAGGUUGCUCCAGUUGAAGCUUGUCGACCAAACAUGCACCCGCCGGUGAUGGCUACAGGAAUUUGGGCCGAUCCAAGUAUCAUGGCGCUUGCUACAAAACCCAUAGUCACUCUGCACCAACAUCCUCAAAGCUAUCUAUUAUCCCAACGGGACUAUUUAUCGGCUGAGUGGGGAUCAAAACCCCCGCAGGUGUGGCGUGCUAUAUUGGAGGGUAGAGAUGUGCUCAACCAAGGUCUUAUAAGGAGAAUAGGGAAUGGAAAUACAACGCUCAUAUGGGAACACAACUGGUUACCAAAUGAGGUGAUGAUGAGGCCGAUUGCAUGCCUAACAGCUGACCCGCCAGUUUUGGUAAGUGAAUUGAUAGAUCAUACCAGUGCCGCUUGGAGGGAGAACCUGUUACAACAAGCUUUUUUGGCGCCGGACAUUAACACAAUUCGGAGCAUCCCCUUGUGUACUAGGAAUAUGGAUGAUACCUGGGCAUGGAAUUAUGAGAAGCAUGGUAGAUUCACUGUCAGGCCGGCUUACCGCAUGUUGGCAGAUACUAAGAGGAGGAGGGAGGACUGGCUAGAAAAUAAUGCAGGAAGAUCAAACUAUGUUGAGGAGGCGAGGGUGUGGACUUCGCUCUGGUCGGUUCAAGUCCCUGCUCGUCGGAAGGCAAUCCAUGAAGGUAUAUUACAGAGUCCGCAUGCUAUCCAUUCAUUUGUGCUGAAUCUUAUUGCGGAGCUGGAGGCGCUGAGAAGGCCGGAUACAGACAAGGCUGCACCGAGUAGGGCAGGUGCGAGCUCACGACCACCUUGGAAGGCGCCGCCGGAUGGGGUUGUCAAGAUUCAUGUAGAUGGGGGCUUCUCCAGGACGGGUGAAAAAGGUGCUGCAGCAGCUGUGUGCAGAGAUUGCAGUGGAACUUUUCUGGGCUCCUCGGCACUUGUUGUCUACGGAAUCACUGAUCCGGCUAUCUUGGAAGCUUUGGCAUGCCCGGAGGGACUUUCACUUGCUCUUGAUCUCGGGGUAGACAAAAUGGUGAUUGCAUGCGAUUCUAAGACAGUGGUCUCGGACAUCAGGAUGGGAACCGAAGGGAGGCACUCGGUUAUUGUGAAGGAGAUUGUAACACGGGCAAAUGAGCUUGCUGCAUGCGAUAUCACUUUUGAAGGACGAGCAUUGAAUUGGGAAGACCAUAGUCUAGCUAAAUUUUCUACUAGUUCUUUAGAUUCUGGCCGCCAUGCCGCGCUCCGCGAUUGGUGGCUAGGUCUUCCUGCUGUCGCCGCCAAUCCUAUUCCUACGCACCCUUCCUUCAAAGCAGCCAGUUUUCCCACAGAAGCUCUCCCCGCCGCCCUGCCCGAAAAUUUCGCGCGGAUGGCGCCAGAUUCCGAGCCGCGUCCACGCGCCCUCCAAACAUUUCCUCCUUCCCGCUGGCGCCACUUCCUCCCCGCCAUUUCCAGAGCUGCCCCGGGUAUUUCACCGCCUCCAGAGCUAGCGUCCUCGCGCCAUCACAGCACAACCCUUCUUCGUCUGGAGAGUGCUAGCCCAGGAGCGCGGUCGUGA